CGAGACGGAGAGGAAUGCAGAGCCUUGGGGAUGAGCUGGAGAGACAAGGACAGAGAGGAGGAGUCCGUGGACGGAAUCGCUCAUUGUGACUUUGCAAAGGGAAAAGAGGGAGAAAGGAGUGCGAGCAAGAGUUCAGUCUGCCUGAGUCGGAGUCGGCGUGCUUUGGAGGCAGCGGAAGAGGAAGUGCUCCUGUGUGCAGCAAUCAAACAAUGAUGAAAGCCGACGGCAAAGAGCAGGAGAUGUGAAACGAUGUAGGUGGUCAGCUGCCGGGAAGUGAUCCGGGAAUAAUUUAAUUUACAUUUUCUCUGAAGAAUUAUGCUGAAACACGCAAUGUCUGCUUACUAGAAGCCUGUUUUAAAUUCAAAAGUAGUGUUUAAAGCAAUAAAAGAGCAUGUUGACAAUA